CUGUGCUACAGAAGCAUCACUUCCCUUGUGAAGAUGUUGCCAGACUGCUGCUGAAGUGAGGAUUGGCGCUAAGCAGGGUCAUAAUCUGAAGCAAUUCUGCAAGCUCUAUCCUUCAGAGUCCCAAGGCCCACCUCUCAGCGACUUCCUUCCAUAUGAAACAUUUACCUGCUUCGGUGGCUAGCAAGACCCUCCUUGUCAAAGGACAGUCAGCUGCACUGUGAAAUUCGAGUUGUCUCCAGAAGGAAGAAGUCACACACCUUCAACGAAGGCGCCGAGAGAGAGCGAGCUCCACACCAACAGAAGCGUCUUAAUUUUUGCAGAUUAUGAGGACGCUUUCAUAAAAUCGUAAGGAUCUCUGGUGUCUCCCAGCUCAGGACAGAAAUGUGGCAGUGGGUAACUUCGGGACGUGAGCCUGAAAUCCCCAGAGCAGAUAACACCCAGCGCGUCGGUCCUGAUCCAGCUUCAAGUCAGCAGGCCUCCCCGGACCAUCUGCGCUCCAUAAAUUCCAGUAACACUGGCACAUGAGGCUUGUAAAUCACCACCAAACGGGUUUCACCUGUGACACAGGACAUGAACCCUGCUGUAUAUUCCAAUAAACUCCCAUAAACCAUCUGA